rnacentral:misc_RNA from 1 species
GAGAGAGAGAGAGAGAGAGCUUUGCCUGAUCUGCAUUUCUUGUUUCUGUUAUGUUUUCUUCAUCUGUUAUGUAUUAUGGCUGGUUGCAGGUUCAUAAGGAAGUCGAUACAUUGUUGUUCGCAGCUCCAUUGCAGAAGAGGGACAGAAAAGCUUUUGAUGGGUAAAUUAUUGAGCUCCAAUACGAGAAAAAUGUCUCGGAAGGCGUGAGUGGAACGCCAAAAAGCCCCACCACUGCUCUCAGUUUUGCGAUAAUUGUUUCCUUAUUUUAUCUUCCCAAGUUCUAGUGUUUCGGUGGGGAAGGGUUCUGCCCAAGUAUUUGACGCUGCGUGACCUUCGCUCUGCUGUGCGAUUUGGUUUGAGGCCUGUUACGUAUUACUGGUUCACCAUUGGGUUGAUUUGGGCCUCCUUUGACAGUGGGCCAGUUAUGUGCUUCGAGUUGUUCGCUGUUGGAUAGAGGAGCUCUUAUUUUUUAGACCUUAGUUUUGUAUUUUUUUUAAGGCUUGGGCCUUCUCUGACUUAUAUCGAGUCUUAGGCCUUUUAAUCCAAUGUAUAGGUGAUGAGAACCAAGCCUCCUUUGCUACACUGCACAAAAAAAGGAUAAGACUUCAUCAUCCAUGAAAGACCAUAACGUUUGCACCUGUUUUCCGUGGCAGAUAAGACUUCAUCAUCCAUGAAAGACCAUAACGUUUGCACCUGUUUUCCGUGGCA